rnacentral:rRNA from 1 species
AUACGUAGGUGGCAAGCGUUAUCCGGAAUUAUUGGGCGUAAAGAGUGAGCAGGCGGUUAAUUAAGUCUGAGGUUAAAGCGUGGGGCUCAACCCCCUAAAGCCUUGGAAACUGAUUGACUAGAGUACGGGAGAAGUGAAGGGAACUCCAUGUAUAGCGGUGAAAUGCGUAGAUAUAUGGAAGAACACCAGUGGCGAAGGCGCUUCACUAGCCCGAAACUGACGCUCAGUCACGAAAGCGUGGGUUGCAAAUAGGAUUAGAUACCCUAGUAGUCCACGCUGUAAACGAUGACAACUAAAUAUUGCCGCGAGGCAGUGUUGAAGCUAACGCAUUAAGUUGUCCGCCUGGGGAGUACGGUCGCAAGACUGAAACUUAAAGGAAUUGACGGGG